UUAAUAGAAGCCAAAAAGAGGCCUUCCACUGUUAAUGGAAGAAUUGAAAUUUUUUCCUAUUAAG
rnacentral:tRNA from 1 species